CCUACGGGUGGCUGCAGUGAGGAAUAUUGGUCAAUGGCCGGAAGGCUGAACCAGCCAAGCCGCGUGAAGGACGAAGGUGCCAAGCAUUGUAAACUUCUUUUGUCAAGGGACAAAAUCAGGCUCGAGAGCCUGACCGAGGGUACUUGAAGAAAAAGCAUCGGCUAACCCCGUGCCAGCAGCCGCGGUACUACGGGGGAUGCGAGCGUUAUCCGGAUUUAUUGGGGUUAAGGGGUGCGUAGGCGGGCUGUUAAGUCAGCGGUAAAAGCCCGGGGCUAAACCCCGGCGAGCCGUUGAAACUGGCUGUCUAGAGAUGGCGAGAGGUAUGCGGAAUGCGCAGUGUAGCGGUGAAAUGCUUAGAUAUGGCGCAGAACUCCGAUUGCGAAGGCAGCAUACCGGCGGCGAUCUGACGCUGAGGCACGAAAGCGUGGGUAUCGAACAGGAUUAGAUACCCUUGUAGUC
rnacentral:rRNA from 1 species